GAUAUACUCCCUCCGUCCCAAAAUUCUUGUCUUAAAUUUGUCUAAAUAUGGAUGUAUCAAGUCACGUUUUAGUAUUAGAUACAUCCGUAUCUAGACAAAUCUAAGACAAGAAUUUUGGGAUGGAGGGAGUAUAUA
rnacentral:pre_miRNA from 1 species